UACGAAGGGGGCUAGCGUUGUUCGGAUUUACUGGGCGUAAAGGGCGCGUAGGCGGUGCAAUAAGUCAGGCGUGAAAGCCCCGGGCUCAACCUGGGAAUUGCGCUUGAUACUGUUGCGCUUGAAUCCAGGAGAGGAUGGCGGAAUUCCCAGUGUAGAGGUGAAAUUCGUAGAUAUUGGGAAGAACACCAGUGGCGAAGGCGGCCAUCUGGCCUGGAAUUGACGCUGAGGCGCGAAAGCGUGGGGAGCAAACAGG
rnacentral:rRNA from 1 species